rnacentral:rRNA from 1 species
AGACCCGAAACCCGGUGAUCUAGCCAUGGGCAGGUUGAAGGUUGGGUAACACUAACUGGAGGACCGAACCGACUAAUGUUGAAAAAUUAGCGGAUGACCUGUGGCUGGGGGUGAAAGGCCAAUCAAACCGGGAGAUAGCUGGUUCUCCCCGAAAGCUAUUUAGGUAGCGCCUCGUGAAUUCAUCUCCGGGGGUAGAGCACUGUUUCGGCUAGGGGGCCAUCCCGGCUUACCAACCCGAUGCAAACUGCGAAUACCGGAGAAUGUUAUCACGGGAGACACACGGCGGGUGCUAACGUCCGUCGUGAAGAGGGAAACAACCCAGACCGCCAGCUAAGGUCCCAAAGUCAUGGUUAAGUGGGAAACGAUGUGGGAAGGCCCAGACAGCCAGGAUGUUGGCUUAGAAGCAGCCAUCAUUUAAAGAAAGCGUAAUAGCUCACUGGUCGAGUCGGCCUGCGCGGAAGAUGUAACGGGGCUAAACCAUGCACCGAAGCUGCGGCAGCGACACUGUGUGUUGUUGGGUAGGGGAGCGUUCUGUAAGCCUGUGAAGGUGGCCUGUGAGGGUUGCUGGAGGUAUCAGAAGUGCGAAUGCUGACAUAAGUAACGAUAAAGCGGGUGAAAAGCCCGCUCGCCGGAAGACCAAGGGUUCCUGUCCAACGUUAAUCGGGGCAGGGUGAGUCGACCCCUAAGGCGAGGCCGAAAGGCGUAGUCGAUGGGAAACGGGUUAAUAUUCCCGUACUUGGUGUUACUGCGAAGGGGGGACGGAGAAGGCUAUGUUGGCCGGGCGACGGUUGUCCCGGUUUAAGCGUGUAGGUGUGUGUUCCAGGUAAAUCCGGUUCACUUUAACACUGAGGCGUGACGACGAGGCACUACGGUGCUGAAGCAACAAAUGCCCUGCUUCCAGGAAAAGCCUCUAAGCAUCAGGUAACAUCAAAUCGUACCCCAAACCGACACAGGUGGUCAGGUAGAGAAUACCAAGGCGCUUGAGAGAACUCGGGUGAAGGAACUAGGCAAAAUGGUGCCGUAACUUCGGGAGAAGGCACGCUGACACGUAGGUGAAGUGAUUUACUCAUGGAGCUGAAGUCAGUCGAAGAUACCAGCUGGCUGCAACUGUUUAUUAAAAACACAGCACUGUGCAAACACGAAAGUGGACGUAUACGGUGUGACGCCUGCCCGGUGCCGGAAGGUUAAUUGAUGGGGUCAGCGCAAGCGAAGCUCCUGAUCGAAGCCCCGGUAAACGGCGGCCGUAACUAUAACGGUCCUAAGGUAGCGAAAUUCCUUGUCGGGUAAGUUCCGACCUGCACGAAUGGCGUAAUGAUGGCCAGGCUGUCUCCACCCGAGACUCAGUGAAAUUGAACUCGCUGUGAAGAUGCAGUGUACCCGCGGCAAGACGGAAAGACCCCGUGAACCUUUACUAUAGCUUGACACUGAACAUUGAGCCUUGAUGUGUAGGAUAGGUGGGAGGCUUUGAAGCGUGGACGCCAGUCUGCGUGGAGCCGACCUUGAAAUACCACCCUUUAAUGUUUGAUGUUCUAACGUGGACCCGUAAUCCGGGUUGCGGACAGUGUCUGGUGGGUAGUUUGACUGGGGCGGUCUCCUCCUAAAGAGUAACGGAGGAGCACGAAGGUUGGCUAAUCCUGGUCGGACAUCAGGAGGUUAGUGCAAUGGCAUAAGCCAGCUUGACUGCGAGCGUGACGGCGCGAGCAGGUGCGAAAGCAGGUCAUAGUGAUCCGGUGGUUCUGAAUGGAAGGGCCAUCGCUCAACGGAUAAAAGGUACUCCGGGGAUAACAGGCUGAUACCGCCCAAGAGUUCAUAUCGACGGCGGUGUUUGGCACCUCGAUGUCGGCUCAUCACAUCCUGGGGCUGAAGUAGGUCCCAAGGGUAUGGCUGUUCGCCAUUUAAAGUGGUACGCGAGCUGGGUUUAGAACGUCGUGAGACAGUUCGGUCCCUAUCUGCCGUGGGCGCUGGAGAACUGAGGGGGGCUGCUCCUAGUACGAGAGGACCGGAGUGGACGCAUCACUGGUGUUCGGGUUGUCAUGCCAAUGGCACUGCCCGGUAGCUAAAUGCGGAAGAGAUAAGUGCUGAAAGCAUCUAAGCACGAAACUUGCCCCGA